UGCAUCGUAAGCUGCAGCAUCUGACACCAUAUCUCCGAUUAAAAGCCCACCAAGAACUCCUCCGAGUAAGCCAGCUCCCAAUCCCAGCCCAAACUUGUUCUCCUUUGGCGGUUGUUGCACUGCUGGGUACCCAUAUCCUGCCUGAGCCCGUGGGUAUCCAUAGCCUACCUGAGGAGCUGGUGGGUAUCCAUAGCUUACCUGAGGAGGUGGUGGUGGGUAUCCAUAACCAGGCGG
rnacentral:misc_RNA from 1 species